rnacentral:tRNA from 1 species
GGAGAGGUGGCUGAGUGGUCGAUAGCGACGGUUUGCUAAACCGUUAUACUCCGAAAGGGGUAUCGGGGGUUCGAAUCCCCCCCUCUCCGC